rnacentral:rRNA from 1 species
UACGUAGGGUGCGAGCGUUGUCCGGAUUUACUGGGCGUAAAGGGCGUGCAGGCGGUUUGUUAAGUGCAGGGUGAAAGCUCCCGGCUCAACUGGGAGAGGUCCUUGCAUACUGGCGAACUCGAGGGAGGCAGAGGAAGGUGGAAUUCCCGGUGUAGUGGUGAUAUGCGUAGAUAUCGGGAGGAACACCUGUGGCGAAGGCGGCUGUCUGGGCCUUACCUGACGCUGAGACGCGAAAGCGUGGGGAGCGAACAGG